rnacentral:rRNA from 1 species
GUGCGUAAUAGCUCACUAGUCGAGUGACUUUGCGCCGAAGAUAAACGGGGCUAAACUUACUACCGAAGCUUGGGAACUAGAAAUAGUUGGUAGAGGAGCAUCCUGUGAAGGCUGAAGCCAACCUGGAAGGGUUGGUGGACAACACAGGAGAGAGAAUGUUGGCAUGAGUAGCGAGAGGCAGGUGAGAAUCCUGCCCGCCGAAAAUCUAAGGUUUCCUGAGGAAGGUUCGUCCACUCAGGGUUAGUCGGGGCCUAAGCCGAGAGCGAACGCUGUAGGCGAUGGACAACUGGUAGAUAUUCCAGUACCACCGAAUGUCGUUAUAAGUGAAGUGGGGACACAGAAGGAUAGGUUGAGCGCACCGUUGGUAGAGUGCGUCCAAGCGUUAAGGGAGCUGAAGCAGGCAAAUCCGCAUCAGCAAUUCUGAGGCGUUACGGGGAGUCUAAAAAGACGGAAGCAACUGAUUUCAUACUGUCAAGAAAAGCCGCUAGCAAGACACUAGGUGCCCGUACCGCAAACCGACACAGGUAGAUGAGGAGAGAAUCCUAAGGCGAGCGAGAGAACUAUUGUUAAGGAACUCGGCAAAAUAACCCCGUAACUUCGGGAGAAGGGGUGCCUGCUUCGGCAGGCCGCAGUGAAGAGGUCCAGGCAACUGUUUACCAAAAACACAGGUCUCUGCUAAAGCGAAAGCUGAAGUAUAGGGGCUGACGCCUGCCCGGUGCUGGAAGGUUAAGGGGAAUGCUUAGCGCAAGCGAAGGUGUGAACUUAAGCCCCAGUAAACGGCGGCCGUAACUAUAACGGUCCUAAGGUAGCGAAAUUCCUUGUCAGGUAAGUUCUGACCCGCACGAAAGGCGUAACGAUCUGGGCACUGUCUCAACAAUAGACUCGGUGAAAUUGUAGUACCGGUAAAGAUGCCGGUUACCCGCAGCAGGACGGAAAGACCCCAUGGAGCUUUACUGUAGCUUGAUAUUGAGUUUUGGCAUUGCAUGUACAGGAUAGGUGGGAGACUGAGAAGUUAGGACGCCAGUUUUAGCUGAGUCACCGUUGGGAUACCACCCUUGUAAUGUUGAAAUUCUAACCGUGCGCCGUAAUCCGGUGUCGGGACAGUGUCUGGUGGGCAGUUUGACUGGGGCGGUCGCCUCCUAAAGAGUAACGGAGGCGCCCAAAGGUUCCCUCAGAGCGGACGGAAAUCGCUCGAAGAGUGUAAAGGCAGAAGGGAGCUUGACUGCGAGACCAACAAGUCGAGCAGGGACGAAAGUCGGGCUUAGUGAUCCGGUGGUACCGAGUGGAAGGGCCAUCGCUCAACGGAUAAAAGCUACCCUGGGGAUAACAGGCUGAUACCGCCCAAGAGUCCACAUCGACGGCGGUGUUUGGCACCUCGAUGUCGGCUCGUCUCAUCCUGGGGCUGAAGUAGGUCCCAAGGGUUGGGCUGUUCGCCCAUUAAAGAGGUACGCGAGCUGGGUUCAGAACGUCGUGAGACAGUUCGGUCCCUAUCCGCUGUGGGCGUUGGAAAUUUGAGUGGAGCUGUCCCUAGUACGAGAGGACCGGGAUGGACGUACCGCUGGUGCACCAGUUGUUCUGCCAAGGGCAUAGCUGGGUAGCUAAGUACGGAAGGGAUAAGCGCUGAAAGCAUCUAAGUGCGAAGCCCCCCACAAGAAAAGAUUUCCUCCUUAAAAGGUAAGACUCGUGGAAGACUACCACGUAGAUAGGUCGGAGGUGUAAGUGCAGCAAUGUAUUGAGCUGACCGAUACUAAUAGGUCGAACGCUUGACCA